GAUGAACGCUAGCGAUAGGCCUAACACAUGCAAGUCGAGGGGCAUCACAUGAAGUAGCAAUACGGAUGGUGGCGACCGGCGCACGGGUGAGUAACACGUAUGCAACCUGCCUUCAACAAGGGGAUAACCCGUUGAAAGACGGACUAAUACCCUAUAACACAGGGGUCCCGCAUGGGAAUAUUUGUUAAAGGACAACCGGUUGAAGAUGGGCAUGCGUUCCAUUAGCUAGUUGGCGGGGUAACGGCCCACCAAGGCAACGAUGGAUAGGGGAACUGAGAGGUUUAUCCCCCACACUGGUACUGAGACACGGACCAGACUCCUACGGGAGGCAGCAGUGAGGAAUAUUGGUCAAUGGACGCAAGUCUGAACCAGCCACGUCGCGUGAAGGAAGACGGCCCUACGGGGUUGUAAACUUCUUUUAUACGGGGAAUAAAGUGCCCCACGCGUGGGGUUUUGCAUGUACCGUAUGAAUAAGGAUCGGCUAACUCCGUGCCAGCAGCCGCGGUAAGUCACACUACA
rnacentral:rRNA from 1 species